GCGGUGCUGGCCGGGCAGGUCGAACUCGUCGACAUCGGGUUGGUCCCGCACCUGGUCGGCGACCCGGCGCUGCGCGUCGCCGACACCGCC
rnacentral:tRNA from 1 species